UCCUCGGUAGUAUAGUGGUUAGUAUCCGCGCCUGUCGUCACGUGCGAGACCCGGGUUCAAUUCCCAGGCCGUGGAG